GUAGGUGAACCUGCGGAAGGAUCAUUCAUAAUAAGUGUUUUAUGGUACUUUUAAAUCCAUAUCCAUUUUGUGUGCAAUGUCAGUCGAUCUUCUUCAUGGAGAUCGACCAAACAUUAACCUUUAUUUUUUAAUUCUUUGUCUGAAAAAUAUUAUGAAUAAACAAUUCAAAAUACAACUUUCAACAACGGAUCUUUUGGCUCUC
rnacentral:misc_RNA from 1 species